GGAACAUCUUUUGUCUCUCGGCAAGAAGCUUUCCUCCGGGAAAGAUAAAGUAAUCGAUAGGGUCUUUUAAAUAGCUCCGCGUUUCCUGUCGGGAGAGGAGUAUCAGCGCGCGCACCAAAUCUGCUCUGUUGUCAUGUGGGAGUUGGACUAUAAAGAAAGCUGGGCGCCGAAGAGUUGAUGCUUUUGAACUGUGGUGUUGGAGAAGACUCUUGAGAGUCCCUUGGACUGAAAGGAGAUCAAACCAGUCCAUCCUAAAGGAAAUCAGUCCUGAAUAUUCAUUGGAAGGACUGAUACUGAAGCUGAAGCUCCAAUACUUUGGCCACCUGACUCAUCAGAAAAGACCCUGAUUCUGGGAAAGAUUGAAGGCAGGAGGAGAAGGGGACAACAGAGGAUGAGAUGCUUGGAUGGCAUCACAGACUCAAUGGACAUGAGUUUGAGCACGUUCCAGGAGUCAGUGAUGGACAGGGAAGCCUGGCAUGCUGCAGUCCAUGGGGUAGCGAACAGUUGGACACGACUGAGUGACUGAACUGAACUGAGGUAUUGAAUAUGUUGUAGAAAGUUUCAAAAUCCUCUACAAAUCACUCCAUUUUUCUAAUUCCGCUUUCCUCUCCGGAGAUAACUUGUUACCUGGUGUGCAUCCUUCUAGCCUUGAGCUAUCUUAUUACCAUAGCCAUAAGCCACAUGUGACUUCUGAGCCCUUGAAAUGUGGCUUGUAAGAAUUGAGACUGCUGUAAGCACAAGUUUGAGAAUUUAGUACGAAAUAAAUAAAGUUAAGUAUAUUUUAUGUUGAUUUACAUCGUACUUUGGAUACACUGGGUUCUAUAAAAUAAAUUUCACUUUGUAAAAAUAUGGGUCUAGAAAAUUUAAAAUUACAUAGUGGCUCACAUUAUAUUCCUGUUAGACAGUGUUCUAGGUCUUUUGUACAUCUACACUCAUAGUUACAAAGAAAAGAAAACUGGAUCAUUCAUGUUGCAAUGAUCAACCGUUUGCUAUUUUUCUCUUAUCAAACUGCCUGGAGAGCAUCCCUUGUUAGUAUAUACAGAUCCACCUUUUUCUUUUAAAUUGAUUCCAUAUUACCAGCUACUGAUGGACAGUUGGGUUGUUUCCAUGUUUGCCUGUUACAAUGAACAUUGCUGUUUUUUUUGUGUUUUUUUUUUUUAAAUUUAUUUUAUCUCUUUGUUUCUUUCUCUUUCUUUAAUCCCCACAUCUCUUGACUUGCAGGGGUAUCUAGGGCUUUCCAGAUGGCCCUCCAUUUUUAAAAAAUCUUACUGAAAAGCAUAAGGGUGACCAGGCCAGGGAUAGAGGGACUAUCUAGGUUAUUGUCCAAACAGGGGCUUUUGAGAGAGAAAGGCAGUAAUAUCAGUAGCAAUCCUGGGACAGUAGGAGAGACAAACUGGGACUGUCCAGUGCAGAGUAGGACGUGCAGUCACCAAGGCCGUAGGGGUCCCGGUGUGUGUCUGUACAAGACAAGGAUGGGAAGCUCAUCUGAACCCCUCUUUCAUACCAAUGCUGGACUUUAGCCUCCAAUUCUACCCUUUCCUCCUUUCUGAUAAUGGGUGGGCAGGCACUGGGGCCAUCUUCUGAGGCUGGUGGUGAGAGAAGGAUCAAAAUCUCCAAAACGAAAUGCUCCAUGAAUGGGGAGGCCCCUCUGCUGGAGGCCUCUCCUCAAGGAAGCUCUUUGUACAAAGUAUUAGUAGAUGGUGGACGAGUCCGCAGAGGGUUUGCAGAGGGUGAUUUUAUUCUUGACCACUCAGUGCUAACUCAGGGACAGUCUGAGCUGUCGUGACCUCGAGGUGAAACAGCCCAGAUCUUGUUACUGAUUCCUUCAGGAAACCUCCACUCUCUUCCCGCCCUCCUCUGUGUGACUAAUUUUUAAAAUCUCUGUAACCGAGAAGGCAUUGGAUGAGGUUUCCCACUCUGGGAGGGUGGUGGGUGCCGGACGGGGCGGGGGUGGGGUGGUGUGAUGGUGGGUGAGGGAUGAUACCCCUGCGUGCUCACAUGCUGUCCCUCAAGAGCAGAAGCGGAGGCCUCCGGAUUGGGUGGCAGCAGCUGGUGGGGUGUUGGGAUAAUCUUGCUGAUGACUGGGUAGAUACGAACCUCUUGUGUUAGUAG
ensembl:lncRNA